UUUUCUUCACCAAAUUAACCAUAAAAGUUUCACCAUUUUUUCACAAAAGCAUAAAAUAUUCUAGCUCAUAUAUAUGUAGAGUUGAGCUGAAAUAUUAUCGGUAGCAAACGAGCUUCAUUGUCACCCAUUUUUUUCAAUACUGGAGCCUUCGAAUCGAUGAUCGAUACCGUUGAAAAUGAUCUAUAACACUUGAAGUAUAUAGAAAUUAAGUUUCAUACUUUUUCGAUAUUGUUCUCUUAUCUAUCAAGUCGACGUAAAAAUGAACAGCUGAAAAAUGAAUAUCCUCUAAAAAGUGAUGAUAGGUAUUUUGUAAUCAAGACCGAGAGUAUAGAUCUUGUUCUAAAUAGUUUAAAAUUUUUUUUAACUAAAAUUCAAUUGAUUUAAAUAAUUCUACACUGUCAAACGAGAAAAUGCCUCGUAUCUACCAUUAAAAUUAAAAAUUUUGCGGGUAGCGUGCUACCUAUCUCUCAAAAAAAAAUAAAAAUAAAAAUUUUGCACUCUCUCUCUCUCUCUCUCUCUCUCUCUCUCUCUCUCUAUAUAUAUAUAUAUAUAUAUAUAUAUAUGAGUCCGACUAUACUACUCUUGAGUAUAGUCCUUUUUGUACUAAUAAGUUUUUGGCAGUUAGAUAUGCACUUGUCAUCAUUUUCACCCGUUAGAUCACAUACUAUUCAACCAACCAUCCACUCAACUCUAAGGGACCACUAACAUUCUAACUGGGGACCGCACAUCCCUUCAUCCAAUGGUCGAAAAUUUAUGAGUACAAAUAGGUCUAUACUCAUAAUUAAGAGUAUAGUAGCUCUACUAUAUAUAUAUAUAUAUAUAUAUAAGUCAAUUGGGUUUGGAGAUAUAUAUUUAAGGGGAAACUUCAAAUACCCCCCCUGUGGUUUCGCAUUUUCUUACUUUAGUACCCUGUGGUUUAAAGUGUAUCAAAUUAGUACCAUGUGGUUUCACACUUUCUCACUUUACUACCCUGUGGUUUCAAGUGUAUCAAGUUAAUUAGUACCCUGUGGUUUCAUUUUUGUAUCAAGUUAGUACCCUGUGGUUUCAAUUUUUUUUUUUUAUUAUCUAUUUCGGGUAUAUAAUUUAACAAAAUAUUAAACCAUAGGGUACUAAAGUGAGAAAGUGUGAAACCACAGGGUACUAACUUGAUACACUUGAAACCACAAGGUACUAAAGUUAGAAU
rnacentral:lncRNA from 1 species